rnacentral:misc_RNA from 1 species
AACGGUCUAUACCUGCGGUACCUGCGGAGGGAUCAUUAACAAAUCCAUUGGCGCAGCAUCCAAAUGCUAUCAUGCAUGAGGAUGUUUGCGACAUUUGUUCCAUGUGCAUUGUUUACUCUGCACAUUGUUCACAUUUCUACGAAUCAUCUGAUUGUUUAUAAAAUUACAAAAUAUCAACUUUUAACAAUGGAUCUCU